CGAAUACCGGAGAAUGUUAUCACGGGAGACACACGGCGGGUGCUAACGUCCGUCGUGAAGAGGGAAACAACCCAGACCGCCAGCUAAGGUCCCAAAGUCAUGGUUAAGUGGGAAACGAUGUGGGAAGGCCCAGACAGCCAGGAUGUUGGCUUAGAAGCAGCCAUCAUUUAAAGAAAGCGUAAUAGCUCACUGGUCGAGUCGGCCUGCGCGGAAGAUGUAACGGGGCUAAACCAUGCACCGAAGCUGCGGCAGCGACGCUUAUGCGUUGUUGGGUAGGGGAGCGUUCUGUAAGCCUGUGAAGGUGUGCUGUGAGGCAUGCUGGAGGUAUCAGAAGUGCGAAUGCUGACAUAAGUAACGAUAAAGCGGGUGAAAAGCCCGCUCGCCGGAAGACCAAGGGUUCCUGUCCAACGUUAAUCGGGGCAGGGUGAGUCGACCCCUAAGGCGAGGCCGAAAGGCGUAGUCGAUGGGAAACAGGUUAAUAUUCCUGUACUUGGUGUUACUGCGAAGGG
rnacentral:rRNA from 1 species